ACACUGACGUCGCGACGCAUAUCAAUAAGCGGAGGAAAAGAAACUAACAAGGAUUCCCUUAGUAACGGCGAGUGAAGCGGGAAGAGCUCAAAUUUGAAAUCUUCAAGGUUUUACCUUGACGAAUUGUAGUUUAAAGAAGUGUUUUCUGCUGAAGUUUUGGUAAAAGUUCUUUGGAAUAGGACAUCAUAGAGGGUGAGAAUCCCGUAUUUGACCAUUAUUUCCAGCUGUGUGAUACACUUUCAAAGAGUCGGAUUGUUUGGGAAUGCAGUCCAAAAUGGGUGGUAAAUUUCAUCUAAAGCUAAAUAUUGGCGAGAGACCGAUAGCGAACAAGUACCGUGAGGGAAAGAUGAAAAGAACUUUGAAAAGAGAGUUAAACAGUACGUGAAAUUGUCAAAAGGGAAGCGUUUGACACCAGUGUUGUUUUUCUGAAAAUCAAUUAAAGAACUGUUUAUGCUAAGCUGUUUAGACUUUAUCAGCUAUCCUGUUUAGUUUUGAGCUUUUCUUUAAUGCACUUUUCAGUUAACAAGUCAACAGUCAAUUUCUUUUGCUGUAAAAAAGCUUGAGGAAGGUGGCUAGAGAUUCGUCUUAAGUGUUUAUAGCCUCUUGCCUAUGCAGUCGGAGAGAUUGAGGUCUGCAGCGUAGAUCCUUCGGGGCUAAAUGCAGUUUGUGCUAAGUUAUAGCAUUUUAUAGACAACUUGUUGACUAUGAUUUGUCUUGUAGCUUACUCGCUUAUGUUAUUUUACCUACGCUUAGGAUGUUGAACUCUAUCACACACAG
rnacentral:rRNA from 1 species